rnacentral:rRNA from 1 species
AUAGCGUAUAUUAAAGUUGUUGCAGUUAAAAAGCUCGUAGUUGAAUUUUUGAUCUGGCCGAGAGUACGACCGCGAGGUCAGUAUCCUUGGCUGGAUCUUUCCUUCUGGAGAGCCAUUAUGCCAUUUAUUUGGUGUUUUGGGGAUCCAGGACUUUUACCUUGAAAAAAUUAGAGUGUUUAAAGCAGGCAUACGCUUGAAUACAUUAGCAUGGAAUAAUAGAAUAGGACUUUGGUUCUAUUUUGUUGGUUUCUAGGACCGAAGUAAUGAUUAAUAGGGAUAGUUGGGGGCAUUAGUAUUUAAUUGUCAGAGGUGAAAUUCUUGGAUUUAUGAAAGACUAACUUCUG